GGUUAAGCGACUAAGCGUACACGGUGGAUGCCCUGGCAGUCAGAGGCGAUGAAGGACGUGCUAAUCUGCGAUAAGCGUCGGUAAGGUGAUAUGAACCGUUAUAACCGGCGAUUUCCGAAUGGGGAAACCCAGUGUGAUUCGUCACACUAUCAUUAACUGAAUCCAUAGGUUAAUGAGGCGAACCGGGGGAACUGAAACAUCUAAGUACCCCGAGGAAAAGAAAUCAACCGAGAUUCCCCCAGUAGCGGCGAGCGAACGGGGAGCAGCCCAGAGCCUGAAUCAGUGUGUGUGUUAGUGGAAGCGUCUGGAAAGGCGCGCGAUACAGGGUGACAGCCCCGUACACAAAAAUGCACAUACUGUGAGCUCGAUGAGUAGGGCGGGACACGUGGUAUCCUGUCUGAAUAUGGGGGGACCAUCCUCCAAGGCUAAAUACUCCUGACUGACCGAUAGUGAACCAGUACCGUGAGGGAAAGGCGAAAAGAACCCCGGCGAGGGGAGUGAAAAAGAACCUGAAACCGUGUACGUACAAGCAGUGGGAGCCUCUUUUAUGGGGUGACUGCGUACCUUUUGUAUAAUGGGUCAGCGACUUAUAUUCUGUAGCAAGGUUAACCGAAUAGGGGAGCCGAAGGGAAACCGAGUCUUAACUGGGCGUUAAGUUGCAGGGUAUAGACCCGAAACCCGGUGAUCUAGCCAUGGGCAGGUUGAAGGUUGGGUAACACUAACUGGAGGACCGAACCGACUAAUGUUGAAAAAUUAGCGGAUGACUUGUGGCUGGGGGUGAAAGGCCAAUCAAACCGGGAGAUAGCUGGUUCUCCCCGAAAGCUAUUUAGGUAGCGCCUCGUGAAUUCAUCUCCGGGGGUAGAGCACUGUUUCGGCAAGGGGGUCAUCCCGACUUACCAACCCGAUGCAAACUGCGAAUACCGGAGAAUGUUAUCACGGGAGACACACGGCGGGUGCUAACGUCCGUCGUGAAGAGGGAAACAACCCAGACCGCCAGCUAAGGUCCCAAAGUCAUGGUUAAGUGGGAAACGAUGUGGGAAGGCCCAGACAGCCAGGAUGUUGGCUUAGAAGCAGCCAUCAUUUAAAGAAAGCGUAAUAGCUCACUGGUCGAGUCGGCCUGCGCGGAAGAUGUAACGGGGCUAAACCAUGCACCGAAGCUGCGGCAGCGACGCUUAUGCGUUGUUGGGUAGGGGAGCGUUCUGUAAGCCUGUGAAGGUGUACUGUGAGGUAUGCUGGAGGUAUCAGAAGUGCGAAUGCUGACAUAAGUAACGAUAAAGCGGGUGAAAAGCCCGCUCGCCGGAAGACCAAGGGUUCCUGUCCAACGUUAAUCGGGGCAGGGUGAGUCGACCCCUAAGGCGAGGCCGAAAGGCGUAGUCGAUGGGAAACAGGUUAAUAUUCCUGUACUUGGUGUUACUGCGAAGGGGGACGGAGAAGGCUAUGUUGGCCGGGCGACGGUUGUCCCGGUUUAAGCGUGUAGGCUGGUUUUCCAGGCAAAUCCGGAAAACUAAGGCUGAGGCGUGAUGACGAGGCACUACGGUGCUGAAGCAACAAAUGCCCUGCUUCCAGGAAAAGCCUCUAAGCAUCAGGUAACAUCAAAUCGUACCCCAAACCGACACAGGUGGUCAGGUAGAGAAUACCAAGGCGCUUGAGAGAACUCGGGUGAAGGAACUAGGCAAAAUGGUGCCGUAACUUCGGGAGAAGGCACGCUGAUAUGUAGGUGAAGUCCCUCGCGGAUGGAGCUGAAAUCAGUCGAAGAUACCAGCUGGCUGCAACUGUUUAUUAAAAACACAGCACUGUGCAAACACGAAAGUGGACGUAUACGGUGUGACGCCUGCCCGGUGCCGGAAGGUUAAUUGAUGGGGUUAGCGCAAGCGAAGCUCUUGAUCGAAGCCCCGGUAAACGGCGGCCGUAACUAUAACGGUCCUAAGGUAGCGAAAUUCCUUGUCGGGUAAGUUCCGACCUGCACGAAUGGCGUAAUGAUGGCCAGGCUGUCUCCACCCGAGACUCAGUGAAAUUGAACUCGCUGUGAAGAUGCAGUGUACCCGCGGCAAGACGGAAAGACCCCGUGAACCUUUACUAUAGCUUGACACUGAACAUUGAGCCUUGAUGUGUAGGAUAGGUGGGAGGCUUUGAAGUGUGGACGCCAGUCUGCAUGGAGCCGACCUUGAAAUACCACCCUUUAAUGUUUGAUGUUCUAACGUUGACCCGUGAUCCGGGUUGCGGACAGUGUCUGGUGGGUAGUUUGACUGGGGCGGUCUCCUCCUAAAGAGUAACGGAGGAGCACGAAGGUUGGCUAAUCCUGGUCGGACAUCAGGAGGUUAGUGCAAUGGCAUAAGCCAGCUUGACUGCGAGCGUGACGGCGCGAGCAGGUGCGAAAGCAGGUCAUAGUGAUCCGGUGGUUCUGAAUGGAAGGGCCAUCGCUCAACGGAUAAAAGGUACUCCGGGGAUAACAGGCUGAUACCGCCCAAGAGUUCAUAUCGACGGCGGUGUUUGGCACCUCGAUGUCGGCUCAUCACAUCCUGGGGCUGAAGUAGGUCCCAAGGGUAUGGCUGUUCGCCAUUUAAAGUGGUACGCGAGCUGGGUUUAGAACGUCGUGAGACAGUUCGGUCCCUAUCUGCCGUGGGCGCUGGAGAACUGAGGGGGCUGCUCCUAGUACGAGAGGACCGGAGUGGACGCAUCACUGGUGUUCGGGUUGUCAUGCCAAUGGCACUGCCCGGUAGCUAAAUGCGGAAGAGAUAAGUGCUGAAAGCAUCUAAGCACGAAACUUGCCCCGAGAUGAGUUCUCCCUGACUCCUUGAGAGUCCUGAAGGAACGUUGAAGACGACGACGUUGAUAGGCCGGGUGUGUAAGCGCAGCGAUGCGUUGAGCUAACCGGUACUAAUGAACCGUGAGGCUUAACCUU
rnacentral:rRNA from 1 species